rnacentral:lncRNA from 1 species
UCUAUGACCUCAUAAGUUACAGAGUGAAGGAGUUUAGAAUUAAUUUAAUGUACGUAUUAUCUAAAUGAUCGAUCUCCUAGAAAAUAAAUCUGAAAAUAUUUUUGACAAUUUAGUUAAUCUAAUGCCAACUUAUAUGUACAUAUUUAGAGCUAUACUUUCAAAAGUCGUAGGCUUUCGAUGGAAAACUCAAAGUUUCUAUUAAAAGUUUUGAUCUCGAUUUUCAUGAUAAAUAGAAUUUUGUGUUAAAACUUUAUCUUAUUUAGAUCAUUUUAUACUAUUGAACUUACAAACAUGCCACAUUAGUUUUAAAAUAGUCAUUUUUAAGACUCUUUUAUCACUAGCUAAGUAAUAUCGAAAAAUUAUAAAAUUUAAUUUUUAAAUAGUUUUAAUAACCGUAGAUCAUGCCUAACAAAGCUGCCCAUCGAAUCGAAUAUCCUAUUAUCAAAAAUAACUUAAAAAGUAUAAAAAAAAAAUUGUACUUUUAAAAACACAUC